rnacentral:lncRNA from 1 species
GCUCUGGCAUCUUGCCCAGAGGCACUGUCUCCUGAUGCCUCGUGUUGGGAUUCUGUUCAGGGAUUCUUGGUGUCCACUCUCAACAUGAUGUUUUGAUUAAGUCCAAACAAGAAGACUGGAUGAUUAUCUAAGGAAUUUGGGACUAUCUCCGGGACUACAGUGGGGUAUUUUGAUCUCCACGAAGGUUCUAUCAUCCUUGAUGUGUUUCAAGUCAGCAUCUCAUUAGCGAUGAGUGCCGAUCCAAACUAUGUCAGGCAGAGAGAAUCACUUUAGCUUAAAGAGCAAAGUUUAAUAGCGAAGAGUUAGCAAGCCGGUGGCUCACAGAUUUUGUGGUUCUCUCAAGGUGGAGGAGGAGAAGAAGCAGAAGUGGACGAAAGAAUAGCGGAGAAGCAUCAGAGAGCAGAAUAAGCAGUAUCUGCCCAGGGAGCUGAGCAGAGGGCGUGUGUCAUGUGGGUGGAAGUUUGGAGCCGGAGUGGUGGCUGUUUGUUACUGAAAGAAAAAGAGAGACAUGCCAUACACCUUUUGUGCUCUGGAUGGAAGAAACAGAAACCACCAAAAAGAAGCCAUCAGAGUGGCAUUGGCUGCUGGUGGAGCUGGUCAGACCAGUGGACGCUGAUACCUGGAGGAUGCAAAGAUACACAGCUGGGGCAGCCAACUGGAAAUGAACCCAACAGCAGGAGGCCAGAGGAAUAUGCAGGCCUGAAGGAGUCUAGAACAUCGUGGUGGUAGGUAGGUUGAGGCCGAGGCAAGCAGUAGCACACAGCAGGCAGCAUCAAGGAAUGACAAGAGGUACAUGAGUUUCCUAACACCCCACAGAGUUCAGCAACUGGGAAGUCAGCAGGAGGCCAUAUGCUGAGGUUUGAGGAGGGAGCGAGAGUCCCAGGGGCUAGCUAGUCAGUGGACCUCAAAUUUAAGCUUGG